GGACAGUCAGAGAUUAUCGCAAAUAAUACACCGCUUGAAUUAUGAAUAUAUACGGAUCUUGUUUGCUUCUGAUCUUACCCAGUUAUUUCCUCUCAGAGUCAAGUUUUAAAAGAAGCCAAUUAAUUGUGGCCCAGCCAAGGACACAGUAACAGGCAGUAGUAGCACAUGGAGUGUGUUUGUGUCCGACCUGCCAUCAUCCACAACAUGUUAAUUUGGGAGAGAGAGUCAGUCAGGAAAAGAUCGAGUGCUGCAAGGUUCUACUUCAUCACAGCAUGGCGGUCUGGCAGACUAAACACAAUAUGAGGCACUCUUGGGAUGUACACAAGCACGAUCUGUCUCUCUUCCACCCUAUCUUUGCUCCAUAGGGGCUUUUGACAGGUAUGUUCUCUUCACACUGUCACUCUGAUUCUCCUCCGGCAUUCACUACGCUGUUAAUUGCUUAUGGAAAACAAAAAAGGGCCAUCGGAAGAUGGGAUAAAACACCCUACGCCCCCGAUUCCCCACGGAUUCUGUCUGCAUGCCUGCAUUAAGCGUUUUAAUACAUUUAACGGGGCCUGAAACAUCUCUGUGUUGUCAGAAUGGCAUGGCUUGGCCUCAUCUGCCCAUUCUCUCUCUCCCGUGUCAG
ensembl:lncRNA